rnacentral:rRNA from 1 species
UACAGAGGUCUCAAGCGUUGUUCGGAUUCAUUGGGCGUAAAGGGUGCGUAGGCGGCGCGGUAAGUCGGGUGUGAAAUCUCGGGGCUUAACUCCGAAACUGCAUUCGAUACUACCGUGCUUGAGGACUGGAGAGGAGACUGGAAUUUACGGUGUAGCGGUGAAAUGCGUAGAUAUCGUAAGGAAGACCAGUGGCGAAGGCGAUUCUCUGGGCAGUUCCUGACACUGAGGCACGAAGGCCAGGGGAGCAAACGGG